GAUUGGUUAAAGUCGUGCCCAAUGGUCCCAGAUUUCUAGGACAUUUUCAAAAUUAGGUCUUGUGUUCCUACAUUUCCCUUGCAUUUAAGCCCUAUCCUCCAACAAGAUUUUUUGGGGCUAGGGUUA